rnacentral:rRNA from 1 species
AAUGAACGCUGGCGGCAGGCCUAACACAUGCAAGUCGAACGGAGUUAUAUUGUAGCUUGCUAUGGUAUAACUUAGUGGCAGACGGGUGAGUAAUGUAUAGGAAUCUACCUAGUAGUACGGAAUAAUUGUUGGAAACGGCAACUAAUACCGUAUACGCCCUACGGGGGAAAAUUUAUUGCUAUUAGAUGAGCCUAUAUUAGAUUAGCUAGUUGGUGGAGUAAUAGCCUACCAAGGCAAUGAUCUAUAGCUGAUCUGAGAGGAUGAUCAGCCACACUGGAACUGAGAUACGGGUCCAGGGCUUCUACGGGAGGCAGCAGUGGGGGAAUAUUGGGACAAAUGGGGCGAAAAGGCCUGAUCCAGCCAUGUCGCAUGAGUGAAGAA